UACGGGGGGGGGUAAGCGUUGUUCGGAAUUACUGGGCGUAAAGGGCUCGUAGGCGGCCAACUAAGUCGGAUGUGAAAUCCCCAGGCUUAACCUGGGAACUGCAUCCGAUACUGGAUGGCUUGAAUCCGGGAGAGGGAUGCGGAAUUCCAGGUGUAGCGGUGAAAUGCGUAGAUACUCUGGAGGAACACCGGUGGCGAAGGCGGCAUCCUGGACCGGCAUUGACGCUGAGGAGCGAAAGCCAGGGGAGCAAAACGGGG
rnacentral:rRNA from 1 species